UGUUCCAGUUUUGAGAGGAGU
rnacentral:miRNA from 1 species